CUCCUGAGGUCUGUAAAAGGUCACAUGUAUCAAUUUACCACCGAAUGCACCAUAAUCUGAGCCACGUGGAGGAGACCUAUCGUAAAAGGGGAGCUCAAGCAGUAAGUACCCACCCUCAGUGAGCAAUAACAAAACAUCUCCCCCAUUGCAGCCAAUGCAACCGACCAACAGCAGUAGUAAGUGAACGUUCAAGUAGUAUAGUCGUGCGCUCCAACUACCCCAACUUUUUUUUGUUGCUUAGUACUUGUUUUGUCUCCCCUACAUAGUUUAAGCUCAUACAAAUACCAACAAACAGAAACAACACACGCGUGUGCAAUAUAGCGACGACAAUGAUGGGGCAAAAUUUGAUCGUUCAACUGAAAAGCAUUUGCGCGUUUGGGAAAUCAAGUGAACUGCUGCUCGUUCUGAGAGGGGAAUUUCAGAACUCUGGGGCAGCUGACCGGCAGUAGAGGCGUCACAGCGAGUUAUUGGAAAAUUGCACCAGCCAGAGCCAGAGAAUGUUUUCGUUGUUUGUUGUAGAUCGAAGCUGAUUACGAUAAUGGCUCGAGCUGGGUUCGGUUUUCCUAUGUGAAUCUCGGAACAAUUUGUGUUUGAAAUCACAUCAUAUGAACGGAAAGUUGAACUGAUUGAACUCAAAUCUAUGAUAUUAGAGUAACAUAUUUUACAAAGAGUUGCAUCUGAACAGUGUAGUGUAAAAAAAGAGUGUCUGACAAAUAAGUCAUAUACUGAAAAAUUAAAAAAAAAAUGAAUAAUUUUUCAUCUGAACAAGAUAUAAGUGAAAAAAAAAAACCAAUAAGGGGCGAUUUCUUCACCCUGGCUUAAGCGUUAAACCAGGUUUAACUAUAUGGGUAAGCCUGGCUUACCGGUUAAGCCGAGGUGAAGAAAUCGGCCAUAAAUGAAAGAGCUCACCAUAUCCCGUACAAAGUACAUGCAAGUACUAAUAAAAAGCCUAAUUCUAAUGUUGGAGCAUCAAUCAUAAAUCAAAUAAAUAAAGCAAACCAAUCGUUUGGUUGUCACCAUAAAGGAGCAUUCUACCAGCGAUGAAACGAUUCUGUAAUGCAAUGAAGUGACCAGCAGCAGCCCACUCGUGCAGCUGAACGAUGUUGAAGACGAUACGAAACACAAGAUUUCGUCCUGGUCGUAUAAGCGAGCUCUGAGUUUCAUGAACUAUCCAUUGGGCGAUCAAGUCCGUUAAACAAUGUUUCCGUUUCCUAAUGUUAAUUUAAAAACCUGAAUAUAAUUUUAAACUAAAUUUACCGAAACGUAA